UGCUGAAGUUCGUUCGGUUCCCUGG
rnacentral:piRNA from 1 species